rnacentral:rRNA from 1 species
AGAGUUUGAUCCUGGCUCAGAUUGAACGCUGGCGGCAGGCCUAACACAUGCAAGUCGAGCGGUAGGGAGAAGCUUGCUUCUCUUGAGAGCGGCGGACGGGUGAGUAAUGCCUAGGAAUCUGCCUGGUAGUGGGGGAUAACGUUCGGAAACGGACGCUAAUACCGCAUACGUCCUACGGGAGAAAGCAGGGGACCUUCGGGCCUUGCGCUAUCAGAUGAGCCUAGGUCGGAUUAGCUAGUUGGUGGGGUAAUGGCUCACCAAGGCGACGAUCCGUAACUGGUCUGAGAGGAUGAUCAGUCACACUGGAACUGAGACACGGUCCAGACUCCUACGGGAGGCAGCAGUGGGGAAUAUUGGACAAUGGGCGAAAGCCUGAUCCAGCCAUGCCGCGUGUGUGAAGAAGGUCUUCGGAUUGUAAAGCACUUUAAGUUGGGAGGAAGGGUUGUAGAUUAAUACUCUGCAAUUUUGACGUUACCGACAGAAUAAGCACCGGCUAACUCUGUGCCAGCAGCCGCGGUAAUACAGAGGGUGCAAGCGUUAAUCGGAAUUACUGGGCGUAAAGCGCGCGUAGGUGGUUUGUUAAGUUGGAUGUGAAAUCCCCGGGCUCAACCUGGGAACUGCAUUCAAAACUGACUGACUAGAGUAUGGUAGAGGGUGGUGGAAUUUCCUGUGUAGCGGUGAAAUGCGUAGAUAUAGGAAGGAACACCAGUGGCGAAAGCGACCACCUGGACUAAUACUGACACUGAGUGCGAAAGCGUGGGGAGCAAACAGGAUUAGAUACCCUGGUAGUCCACGCCCGUAAACGAUGUCAACUAGCCGUUGGAAGCCUUGAGCUUUUAGUGGCGCAGCUAACGCAUUAAGUUGACCGCCUGGGGAGUACGGCCGCAAGGUUAAAACUCAAAUGAAUUGACGG